rnacentral:rRNA from 1 species
UACGUAGGGUGCGAGCGUUAAUCGGAAUUACUGGGCGUAAAGGGUGCGUAGGCGGGUUUCUAAGUCAGAGGUGAAAGCCUGGAGCUCAACUCCAGAACUGCCUUUGAUACUGGAAGUCUUGAGUUCGGGAGAGGUGAGUGGAACUGCGAGUGUAGAGGUGAAAUUCGUAGAUAUUCGCAAGAACACCAGUGGCGAAGGCGGCUCACUGGCCCGAUACUGACGCUGAGGCACGAAAGCGUGGGGAGCAAACAGG